UACGAAGGGUGCAAACGUUGCUCGGAAUUAUUGGGCGUAAAGCGCACGUAGGCGGCAUAGCAAGUCGGAUGUGAAAUCCCUCGGCUUAACCAAGGAAGUGCAUCCGAAACUGCUGUGCUUGAGUACUUAAGAGGAUCGCGGAAUUCCCGGUGUAGAGGUGAAAUUCGUAGAUAUCGGGAGGAACACCAGUGGCGAAGGCGGUGAUCUGGGAAGAUACUGACGCUGAGGUGCGAAAGCGUGGGGAGCAAACAGG
rnacentral:rRNA from 1 species